GACGAACGCUGGCGGCGUGCUUAACACAUGCAAGUCGAACGGAAAGGCCCUGCUUUUGUGGGGUGCUCGAGUGGCGAACGGGUGAGUAACACGUGAGUAACCUGCCCUUGACUUUGGGAUAACUUCAGGAAACUGGGGCUAAUACCGGAUAGGAGCUCCUGCUGCAUGGUGGGGGUUGGAAAGUUUCGGCGGUUGGGGAUGGACUCGCGGCUUAUCAGCUUGUUGGUGGGGUAGUGGCUUACCAAGGCUUUGACGGGUAGCCGGCCUGAGAGGGUGACCGGCCACAUUGGGACUGAGAUACGGCCCAGACUCCUACGGGAGGCAGGAGUGGGGAAUAUUGCACAAUGGGCGGAAGCCUGAUGCAGCAACGCCGCGUGCGGGAUGACGGCCUUCGGGUUGUAAACCGCUUGCGCCUGUGACGAAGCGUGAGUGACGGUAAUGGGUAAAGAAGCACCGGCUAACUACGUG
rnacentral:rRNA from 1 species